GUGGGGAAUUUUGCGCAAUGGGCGAAAGCCUGACGCAGCAACGCCGCGUGGAGGAUGAAGGCCUUCGGGUCGUAAACUCCUGUCAGUGGGGACGAAUGCUUCGCAAGAAGUUUGACUGUACCCGCUGAGGAAGCCACGGCUAACUCCGUGCCAGCAGCCGCGGUAAUACGGAGGUGGCAAGCGUUGUUCGGAAUUACUGGGCGUAAAGGGCGCGUAGGCGGCAUUGCAAGUCAGAUGUGAAAGCCCCGGGCUUAACCCGGGAACUGCAUCUGAAACUGCUUUGCUUGAGUCCUGGAGGGGAUAGUGGAAUUCCCAGUGUAGCGGUGAAAUGCGUAGAUAUUGGGAGGAACACCUGCGGCGAAGGCGGCUAUCUGGACAGUGACUGACGCUGAGGCGCGAAAGCUAGGGGAGCGAACGGGAUUAGAAACCCCAGUAGUCC
rnacentral:rRNA from 1 species